UCGCGGAGAUUCAGGGGCACGCUAAUAACGCAGCGCUGGAGGCAAAGAACUACGACUCCCGAAAGGCCAGAGCAGAAGGUUCGCUGGCCCAUAAGGGAAUCCGCGGACUUCGGUGCCGCAUGCUAAAGACUCCCGCGAGUUUAGAGAGGUUUCCUCUCGCGCCCUCCGCUGGAGAAAUGGAGAGUUCCGCAGAGGCGACCUGUAUUCCCCCAGCUGGAGAACAGGGGGAAAAGGCUUAAGGAAGGCAAUGAAGGCAGCAACCAGAGGGAAGAAAAUGUUGCUGCACCCAACACAUUAAGCAGUUGGAGUGGGAUAUUUGCCUACAAUGAAAUGAAGCAUAGCCGGAGAACCAGACAGCGCUACUUGACUUGGCACAAGAAUGUUAGAUCUUUUUGGAUUUCUAAUUUUGAAUAAUGCCCACCCAUGAUCUCCACCCAAAAGAUAGAAAUCAGUGGAGCUCCUUUUCUCCAAGAUAAGAACAAGUUCCUUGUGAAGGUCCUUCUCAGCAAUGGA